CGGCUGGCCAUGAGAUGUUCAGCCACGGAACCACGCUCCAUCAGCACCACGCAUAAGUGAAUGCUGCUGACGCAGCUGAAGCCGCCGCCGUACAUGCUGCUAUUCAUCCUUACGGCCAUCCUGCUGUUUACCUCAGCAAAUACCGGCCCGCUGGAGAAGGCCAGCCAGGCCCAGCUGGCGCAUGCAGUGAGUUAUUUUGUACGCUUCGGCUACACCAAUUACAGGAAGUUUCAAGACUCAGAUGAGGCUGGGGCUCUAACCACCCUUGAAAAUGAUAUCAGAAAAUUUCAGAAAUUCGCUGGCCUGCAAAGCACUGG